rnacentral:SRP_RNA from 1 species
GCCAAGUGUGGUGGCACCUGCCUAUAGUCUCAGCUACUCAGGUGGCUGAGGUGGGAGGAUCCCUUGAGCCCAGGAGUUCUGGGCUGUAGUGCGCUCUACGGAUCAGGUGUCCACACUAAGUUCGUCAUCAAUAUGGUGACCUCCUGGAAGUGGGGGACCACUGGAUUGCCUAAGGAGGGGUGAACCCGCCCAAGUCGGAAACAGAGCAGGUCAAAACUCCCGUGCUGAUCAGUAGUGGGAUCGCACCUGUGAAUAGCCACUGCACUCCAGCCUGGCCAACAUAGUGAGACCCCGUCUCU